rnacentral:tRNA from 1 species
GUUGUUUUGGCAGAGAAUAUGCGUAGGACUUAGGAUCCUGUAAAAUAGAAUUGAUCUAUAAAUAACU